CUGCUUUUGUACGGGAAUAAACCUCUUUACGUGUAAAGAGUUGAAUGUACUGUAAGAAUAAGGAUCGGCUAACUCCGUGCCAGCAGCCGCGGUAAUACGGAGGAUCCAAGCGUUAUCCGGAUUUAUUGGGUUUAAAGGGUGCGUAGGUGGUUCUUUAAGUCAGGGGUGAAAGACG
rnacentral:rRNA from 1 species